AGCAGCCGCGGUAAUUCCAGCUCCAAUAGCGUAUAUUAAAGUUGUUGCAGUUAAAAAGCUCGUAGUUGAAUUUCGGGGUUAGUAGGUUGGUCGUGCCACUGGUAUGUACUGGCCUCACUGAUUCCUCCUUCUUGUAGAACCGUAAUGCCAUUAAUUUGGUGUUGCGGGGAAACAGGACUGUUACUUUGAAAAAAUUAGAGUGUUUAAAGCAGGCUAACGCUUGAAUACAUUAGCAUGGAAUAAUGAAAUAGGACGUUCGAUCCUAUUUUGUUGGUUUCUAGGAUUGACGUAAUGAUUAAUAGGGAUAGUUGGGGGCAUUAGUAUUCAAUUGUCAGAGGUGAAAUUCUUGGAUUUAUUGAAGACUAACUACUGCGAAAGCAUUUGCCAAGGAUGUUUUCAUUAAUCAAGAACGAAAGUUAGGGGAUCGAAGACGAUCAGAUACCGUCGUAG
rnacentral:rRNA from 1 species